GGCCCCGGUAAGCGUAGAGAACGGUCCCCCUUGUGGUCGGUGUACAGGUGGUGCAUGGCUGUCGUCAGCUCGUGUCGUGAGAUGUUGGGUUAAGUCCCGCAACGAGCGCAACCCUUGUCUUAUGUUGCCAGCGCGUUAUGGCGGGGACUCGUAAGAGACUGCCGGGGUCAACUCGGAGGAAGGUGGGGACGACGUCAAGUCAUCAUGCCCCUUAUGUCCAGGGCUUCACACAUGCUACAAUGGCCAGUACAGAGGGCUGCGAGACCGUGAGGUGGAGCGAAUCCCUUAAAGCUGGUCUCAGUUCGGAUCGGGGUCUGCAACUCGACCCCGUGAAGUCGGAGUCGCUAGUAAUCGCAGAUCAGCAACGCUGCGGUGAAUACGUUCCCGGGCCUGUACACACCGAGA
rnacentral:rRNA from 1 species